AAUAGAUACCCGGGUAGUCCACGCCCUAAACUAUGUCAACUAGUUGUCGGGGAAGAAAUUCCUUGGUAACGCAGCUAACGCGUGAAGUUGACCGCCUGGGGAGUACGGCCGCAAGGUUAAAACUCAAAGGAAUUGACGGGGACCCGCACAAGCGGUGGAUUAUGUGGAUUAAUUCGAUGCAACGCGAAAAACCUUACCUACCCUUGACAUGUACGGAAUUCCGCAGAGAUGUGGAAGUGCCCGAAAGGGAACCGUAACACAGGUGCUGCAUGGCUGUCGUCAGCUCGUGUCGUGAGAUGUUGGGUUAAGUCCCGCAGCGAGCGCAACCCUUGCCAUUAGUUGCUACAUUCAGUUGGGCACUCUAAUGGGACCGCCGGUGACAAACCGGAGGAAGGUGGGGAUGACGUCAAGUCCUCAUGGCCCUUAUGGGUAGGGCUUCACACGUAAUACAAUGGUCGGUACAGAGGGCUGCCAACCCGCAAGGGGGAGCUAAUCCCAGAAAGCCGAUCGUAGUCCGGAUUGUAGUCUGCAACUCGACUGCAUGAAGCCGG
rnacentral:rRNA from 1 species